CUGAAGGCAUCGUAGCAAACUGCCCUUUGCUACUGGGGCCAAAGGAACUUGGGGAAGGACUUGACUCAGACGGAUGCGGUCAGCUGCGGGGAAGGUUGUCGCUGAGGUGUGUCUCCGUGUGUGGCUGCCCAGGCGCCCAGAACACAGUGGGCACUUCAGCGUGUAGGGCACUGGAUUCCAGGAGCCGCCGUGUGCCGAAGCCUGGGUGUGCAGGCAGUUGUGCAGAAUGAAUCAGACAUCAGCGAUGGAAAACACCUGUUACUGUUGGUCAUCAAGGCUGGGCGUGCAUUCGAAUUUCCAUUUACAGGACAGUUCUGCCCUGCUUCGGGAGGUUCCAUCCCUUCGUUCAUUCAUUCUUUCAGUCUGCCCUGAGCGGCGGCUGUCUACUGGGGAUUUGCUGAGAUCAGGGGGCAGACAAAGAUAGUCAAGGAAGGGAUGCCCUGCUCACCAUUAACUAACUCCCAGUCUACUGGGGGAGAUACACCACCCACCGGCAGAGUCACUCUGCCAGGCAGAGAUUGGUAAGUGUCAUCAGGGGGGAACAGAAAGUCCCGUGGAGCCCCAAGGAAGGGAAGCUUUGUACCGGAAAUGGCCUUCGAAGGCCUUGACAGAUGGGUAAGAUCUGGGCAUGAGGAGAUAGAAGGAAAUGACAUCUCAACCAGAGUGAGGAAACAGCAGAGGGCAUGAUGUUCGGAAUCUUGAGUGUGUUUAGGGCAUUAGUGGUGUGAUUUUUAUGGCCUAAACAAAAGUAACUGGAAAUGAUCGGGUUAGAUUAUGGAGGCAUUUGGAUGAAGCGUUUGCAUUUGAUUUUGUAAACAGUGGAGAAGGCUGGCCUGUUUUUUAGUGCUCCCCCCUCCUUUAUGAUGCUGAGAAAAAAGUAUAUGUAUAUAUAGUCUACAGCAGUGGUUUUUGAAGCAUGGUUUCCAGACCUGCAGCAUCAGGAUCACCUGCAAAACAGAAAUGCAGUUUCUAGGGUCCCACUCCAGACCUACUAAAAUCAGAAAGUCUAGGCAUGGGAUCCACCCACCCCCACUUGGUUCAGAUGCACACUCACGUUUGAGGACCCCUGCUCCAAAACCUUGCUACUCAAAGUGGAGACCUUGGGCCUGUAGCACCAGCAUCACCCGGGAACCUGUUAAAGGUGGAGAAUCUGCAAAAUCCCAGACCUACUGACCCAGAAUCUGCAUUUUAACAAGAUUACCAGGUGAUUCAUAUGCCUGUGAAGAGUGUGAAAAACACUGCUCUGGAGGAUUUGCAAAGUACAGAAACGUAUAAAGAAACCCCCAACCCUACACCGUCACCCAGAUAUAUUCUUUGUUAAUAUUUUGAUGUAAUUCCUACUGGUUGUUUUCUAUACAUCUGUAUCUGUACAAAGUGCUCUUUUAAUGAACAUGAGUGGUAUGGGACGAUAUAUACAGUUUCCUGCUCUUUUUACUUUACAUUAAAUGUGAUGAAAUAGUC